CCUACGGGAGGCAGCAGUGGGGAAUAGUGCACAAUGGGGGAAACCCUGAUGCAGCGACGCCGCGUGAGUGAAGAAGUAUUUCGGUAUGUAAAGCUCUAUCAGCAGGGAAGAAAAUGACGGUACCUGAGAAAGAAGCCCCGGCUAACUACGUGCCAGCAGCCGCGGUAAUACGUAGGGGGCAAGCGUUAUCCGGAUUUACUGGGUGUAAAGGGAGCGUAGACGGCAGCGCAAGUCGGAAGUGAAAUGCCGGGGCUUAACCCCGGAACUGCUUUGGAAACGGUGCAGCUAGAGUGCAGGAGAGGUAAGUGGAAUUCCUAGUGUAGCGGUGACAUGCGUCGAUAUUAGGCGGAACACCAGUGGCGACGGCGGCUUACUGGACUGUAACUGACGUUGAGGCUC
rnacentral:rRNA from 1 species